GCCAGGGUGGCGUAGUGGUUAUCGCAUCUGCCUGGUGAGCAGGAGAUGCGGGUUCGAAUCCUGUCCUUGGUC